GGGCCCGCACAAGCGGUGGAGCAUGUGGUUUAAUUCGAUGAUACGCGAGGAACCUUACCAGGGCUUAAAUGUAAGUUGCAUGGGGUAGAGAUACCCCUUUCUUCGGACUACUUACAAGGUGCUGCAUGGUUGUCGUCAGCUCGUGCCGUGAGGUGUCAGGUUAAGUCCUAUAACGAGCGCAACCCCUGUUGUUAGUUGCCAGCGAGUCAAGUCGGGAACUCUAACAAGACUGCCGGUGCAAACCGUGAGGAAGGUGGGGAUGACGUCAAAUCAUCACGGCCCUUACGUCCUGGCUACACACGUGCUACAAUGGUAGGUACAGAGGGCCGCAAUCCCGCGAGGGGGAGCCAA
rnacentral:rRNA from 1 species